GCUAGUCAUCCUUUUCCCCACCGAGGUGAAACCCUACUGCGCCGCCUCCUCCUCCCUACCAGGCAACGCUUCCGAAGUCUCUUUCGUCGGAUCCUCCACACCAGCACGCACAGCUCCGAUCUGUAGUGGCUUCGUCACAAGAAAACAUUCAACACGUCGAUCCAUGAGAUCCAGUGAGGGCGUCGUCCCCGACCAGUGACCCGUCUCGGCGAUCUUGUUGACCUCCAACAUGCCAACUGCCACCGUCAGCCUUGUCGACGACCUGCGGCGACCCCGCUCCCUAGACCUCGAGCUCGUCGCCCUACAAUGCCAACAACCUCCUCUGCACGUCUCAAGGAUAACUGAGAAGAGAACAUCAGUGGCCUAUAUGAAGGUUUUGAAUUCUCUAGCCAUCCCAGGUCUAAAAUAAAACUCUCUAGUCAUCUGAAAUAUUACCGUGAGAUACAUGCUUGUGAUCUGAAUGCAUUUCAUAGACUUUUACAAGGUGGGGGAGGUGGAAAUUUCGUCAGCCUUAAUUUAUUCUUUGCUUCACUUCAGCAUUGCUCAAUCAGAUCCUGCAACAGUUAUACUGCAUACAUGUACACAAACAUUGUGAUGUAAUUUGUUAGUCCAAGUUCAUGUGGGUUAGCGUUCAGUAGUGUGUUGUGUAUAGGCAAUACCUUGGUAGGCUAAGGAUCCCCAAAUGCGUGGAGGAAGCUAGAUGAACUGUGGUUUUGCGAUGAGGAUUGGAUUAAAAAGUCACGUGAAAGCAGUGCAAGGAGAGGAUGACAACACCUUGCCACAGCUACCACAGAGCUACCACAGUGCCUCAGCAGUCGAAUCCAGGAAACUGUAUGUAUGUUCCUUGCUUAAAGCUCUCCAUGCACAUGACUGGGUGUUUUUUCUCAGAUUAAGGCCUGUCGCACUUCAAAGAAUAGCAUUCCUGAUGUUUUAGUUCCCACUAAUUAAAGGCUUCAGAUAUUAAUGUUUCAGUUCCCACUAAUUAAAGGAUUUAGAUAUUAAUGUCUCUGUUUUUAUUUGGAUAAACAAAUUAUAGAGGAUUUAUGAGAUAAUCUUCAAUUUUGCAGUCCAUACAAACUCAUAAUGUUGUUGGGGUCCAUCUACAACUGGUUAGCGUUCCUAUUUUCUCUUUCUAUUGUAAACCAUCUCAUCAUAAUUGUUUAUCUACCUUGCAUGUUAUACGUUGGCUCCAGUGUGACUUGUCUCAAAGAAUGAAGAAUACAUAGCAGAAUCUAAACUUAAUUGCUCAUAUUAUUCUUAUUCUUUGGUACUUUUGUUAGCUCUUUUAUGCAGGGAGCCAUUUCUUGAAUAUUCAUAGUCCUAGCUUUUGUUUGUUGCUGCCAAUUAAUGGUACGUACCAACUGGACUUAUUUCAAUCAUCUUAGUGUAUAACGCCUCACAAUGUAUGUCAUGGAGCUUACCUAGAUGGGAUUAAUGCUAACUAAACUAUUUCAUAUAAUUGAUCUUGAUAAUAUAGGAAACAUCAUUUCCGAGGUGGCGCAAAUUCAGAACAGUCCUUGUGAAGAUCACUUGUGUGGCAGGGUCUGCCAGGUGAGGAUCUGCAAGUUGCAGUUACCGUCUUCUUUUGCUGUGGGUGGCUGAUCUCACUAAUAAGCACGGGCAAAUCACGAAUCGUCAGGGAAGGGUAAUGUCGACAGACCUGAUGAAGGACCCGAAGAUCAGAAAGGACUUACUAUGUUCGUAUAUAUUAGUAGCGUUGAACAUAUCUAAAGGCAGAAUACUAGUAGGGAUAGAUAUAGUGGUUAGAAUGUCAUACUUCGAAUCAAGAUUGUAAGUUGUGUGUAGUCUUCUGAUAAGUCGCAUGUAUUUUGACAAUGAUUUCAGUAAUAUAAUGUCAAUUGAUUCUUCUCUCGAUUCA